rnacentral:lncRNA from 1 species
AAAACUUAUCGAUAUUAUUAAUCAACUUAUAAACAUAGACAUUGGUGUUUUGAACAUAAAUGCAAGUUAUGACGAACCAAACAAAAAUGAAUACGCACUGUUAACAGAGUAUCAAAAAAAUUAUGAUGAUAAUGAAAUGAUAAAAAAAAGCCACAAAUGCAGUAACAGUAGCAGUAUUUUUAGCCAUAUCACUACUCCUAUGACUAGUCCUAUUACUAGCCCUGUCAUUAGUCCUAUCACUAGCCCUGCCAUUAGUCCAUUCACUACUCCUAUCACUAGUCCAAUCACUACUCCUAAUUACAUUUCAAAAAUACCAAGUAAUAACAAAUUAAACAAAGUAAACAGUUCAAAAAGUAGUUUACAAAAGUUAAAUAACAAUGUAAUAGUUGGUUCUAACAAACAUGUAAAAAAAGGAAUAGACACAUGUAAAGGAUUAAAAUAUGUUUCGUCUAGUAUGUCAAAAAGUGCAGAAAAAAAAAGACUUCUUAAUAAUAAAAAUAAUAACAAUAGCAACUUGAAGAGUAGAAAUAGAAGUACAUUAUUUUUAAUAAGUGACACAAAAGAUACAUCGCAAGCAAAUAAAAGUUAUAGCAACAAAAAAUAUGUUAAUCGUGUAAGUAAAAAUAAACAAGACAUUAAUAAAGACAUCUCUUUUAUAAGCAUACAAGAGCAAGAUUCAGUUGAUAGUUAUAACAAGUUGGUAAAAAGUAUGCACGUCGGCACUAAUGACUAUGGAACUAAUGAUUAUGGCACUAAUGAUUGCAGUAAUAGCAACAGUAGUAGUAAUAGUAGUAAAACUUGCGACAGUGAUGUAAAACAAAAUGUAAAAAAUUCGAAUAAUAUACCUACUAACAUGAAUGAUAAUAAUGUAAAUAGGAUUAACAGUAAUGAUCAAACAAAAAGUGAAAGCUACUUUUAUAAUACAAACGAACCGAACUAUAUUACUUGGAAUAUUAGUAACGGUAUAGUCAACACGAGUGGGUUAUUUGUAGAACAAACAGUUAAAAAAGAAAAAUUAAUAAUAAAUAAAAAAACUCCUGAAUUAAACAUAACUGUUAAGAUUAUUGGAAAACAAAUUGUAUGGUUUGUAAAUGGUAUAUUAAUUUUCGUCACACCGUUUAAUAAUAAUAUGAUGUCUUUUAUACCACUUCUUAAAAUAACACCAAUAAUAAUAAAACAAAAAGAAUUAGAAACAUUAAAACAAAGCGUAGUACAUAACAAUCGUAUUAACUUUUCAUU